UCCUCUCUUAGAUAAAUAAACAAGUAUAUAUAUAUAUAUAUAUAUAUGGCCUUCAAGGAUUUUCUUUCUUUCAUAUGUUGUCCAUUUAGAAUGUGUUUAGAUAUAACCAAGUGUUGUUGCUCUAUAUGUGAAAACACAAACAAAGUUUGUACCAAAUUGUCUACUUGUUCUUGCAACUUAUGUACAAACACAACCAUAUGUUGUUCAAAUGUUUGUGAAAAAACCGGCAAAUGUAGCGGCAAACUCUGCGAAACCACCUGCUCAUGUUGUGCUGAUUGUUGCACAAAGUUGUACUCACUUUGUUGCAGUGCAGAUGUAUGGAUGCAAAUAUUCUCUUGUUGUAACUGCUGUUGCCCAAACGAUACUGGGGAUGGGGAUCAAAGCUCAGGUGCCAUGGCAGUGAUAUUAGCAACACACUUCCCACCAAUUGGAGUCUUCACUAAAUAUAAAUUUGGGAUAGAGUUCUGGAUCUGUUUAUUGUUGACAACCAUUGGCUACUUGCCAGGAAUGUUUUAUGCUAUCUAUAUCUUAUCCUGAGAAGUGGUGCCAAGCAAAACAGUGGAUAUUUGAUUGUGCAUGCUUGAUCAGAAUAACAGUUGUUGUCAGUGUGGUUAAUUAUUUUGUUCAACUUCAUUCAUUUUCGGGAAAUAAGAAAUCUAUGUAUUUCUAUAUAUCGUUUAAUUAUAACUGGUCAUCUGUUUUCGGUUUGUCGUUUUUCACCUUUUAAUUAGUUGUGACAAU